GACUCGGUUUCAAUCUCAGACCAUAUAAUAAGUCUGACAAAUCCCAGAGAUUGCGGACAGAGUCUGAACAGAAUGAGGAGAAACCAAAGUCCUGACUGCAGUUGAUUCAGCAACUGAGCAUCAGACAAGCAACAAGGAGGGAGGUCUCGGGGCUGGGAGCUGUGGCUCUCUUGUAAGGUCAGUAGGGAGGCAUACUUCUGUUCAGGUAGGCCAUGGAUGUGUCGUGAUGACAGGAGAGGGGGGGAACUAAGAUUUGUGAGACCCGCCAGCAGGUAUUUAAAUCCAGGCAGGCCUAGGAUAAAGCGUAUUAGCUGUGGCUUUUAUUCCAUCAGACAAGUGGUAACAGGAAGUGGGAGAGGCAGGAAGAUGCGGGCAAGCAACCACGUCGCCUUUCUCUAACUGCGGUUCUGGAAGAUGGAAAGGAAGCAUGGCCUAGGACUAGCAGGAAAACCUUUCAGAACUAGUAUCUGGGGCUGCUACCUACCCACAAUUCCCAACAAAAUAUGGUGCUUUAUCCUGCUAAAUUAUGCUGUCAGAUUAAAGGCAAAAAGGUAAAGGUAAAGGAUCCCUAGGGACGUGGGUGGCGCUGUGGGUUAAACCACAGAGCCUCGUGGGCUUGCCGAUCAGAAGGUUGGCGCUUCGAAUCCCUGUGACGGGAUGAGCUCCCAUUGCUCGGUCCCUGCUCCUGCCAACCUAGCAGUUCGAAAGCACGUCAAAGUGCAAGUAGAUAAAUAGGUACCGCUCCGGCAGGAAGGUAAAUGGCAUUUCCGUGCGCUGCUCUGGUUCGCCAGAAGCGGCUUAGUCAUGUUGGCCACAUGGCCUGGAAGCUGUACACCGGCUCCCUCGGUCAAUAAAGCGAGAUGAGCGCCGCAACCCCAGAGUUGGCCACGACUGGACCUAAUGGUUAGGGGUCCCUUUACCUUUACCUAAAGGACCCCUGGACAGUAGUCCAGUCAAAGGCGACUAUGGCGUUGCAGCGCUCAUCUCACUUUUAGGACAAGGGAACCGGCAUUUGUCCACAAGACAGCUUUCUGGGUCAUGUGGCCAGCAUGACUAAACUGCUUCUGGCACAACGGAACACCGUGAUGGAAAUCAGAGCACACGGAAACGCCAUUUAUCUUCCCGCUGCAGUGGUACCUAUUUAUCUACUUGCACUGGUGUGCUUUCGAACUGCUAGGUUGGCAGGAGCUGGGACAGAGCAACAGGAGCUCACUCCGUCACAGGGAUUCAAACUGCCAACCUUCUGAUUGGCAAGCCCAAGAGGCUCAGUAGUUUAGACCACAGCAUCAUCCACAUCCCUUUGUUACCUAUGUUGUCAGAUUACAACUCCCAUGGCUAUCAUUGGCCAUGCUGUCUGGGGCUGUUGGAGUGUUUAACAUUUGAAGGGCACCUGGCCCCGUCUUAGACUAAAGAGCAGGGAUAUUCUGAUGAUGUGUUUCACAAUACAGUGGUACCUCGGGUUACAUACGCUUCAGGUUACAUACGCUUCAGGUUACAGACUCUGCUAACCCUGAAAUAUUACCUCGGGUUAAGAAUUUUGCUUCAGGAUGAGAACAGAAAUUGUGCUCCGGCGGUGCAGCAGCAGCAGGAGGCCCCAUUAGCUAAAGUGGUGCUUCAGGUUAAGAACAGUUUCAGGUUAAGAACGGACCUCCGAAACGAAUUAAGUACUUAACCUGAGGUACCACUGUAAUCAAACAUGAAUGGGAGCUCUGCAGCUGUUCAGUCAUUCAUCAUUCCGGUUAGCUGGUUGGUUUCCAUGCCAGCACCAGCCAUCUUGAAUGACAUCAAUUAAACAACAACAACAACAACAGCAACAUGUGAUGAAUUCAACCAUUUUCGAACCCAGGAUAUAUUUAACUAUGAUUUGUUACACAAAUGUCACUCUGUUGUCAUUGUUCUGGAAUUAUGCUGCUGAAAUGUGCAUUCCAUUGAACUCUGUUUUAUUGAGGUGAUGGUGGUAACCAUUAGCAUUCAUUAUUAUGUUUCUUAUUAUGACUCCCUACCAAUACAGCACUUGAUUACAAGGCUGUAGGUAUGUGUGCGCAUGUGUGGAAAGGGGUCAAGGCAAUGAUGCUUAAUGGAACUAGUAGCUUUAUAAAUAUAUGUGCCAAUAAUCUUUCAAAGAAAGAAUGAUUCCUUGAGGUCAUUCUGAAGCAUGCAAGAUUUCAACCAUUUGGGUCAAAAUGACAUUGUCUGCAUUGACUUGGCAGCUGCCCAGAACAUCCCAGAUAAUAUUCAGGACAAUGAUAUGAGCCGUCUGUGCCUCCGUUAAUGAGUGUAGGGAUGAAACAUAACAACAACAAACAACCACAACAAGAACGUUCUGUUCUUCUGCUAAAAGUAUCCAGAGUGGUAUUCUGCAUAAUCAUAAAACCAAACAAUAUAAGCAAGUAUCUAAAUAUGGAAGAGAUAAUGUGGGGAUUAGGAACAACUGCAGUGAGAAAUUGGCGCACUCUCCCCAGAUCUAAAAGAUAGCUCUGCAAGACAUGAUGUUGCCCUUGAGCUGUGCUGCCAUCUUCUGCCUGAUAUCUGCUCCUGGGGUCUAUUCUAUUGGGCUAUACCGGGGGAGAAAUUAGGCUCAAGGUGGAAAGGACUUCUGUAAGCAACAACAUCGGAAAGUCUGCCUGAAGCCAGUCCCAUGCCAACACAAUGUGAUGUUGCAUGAUGUUACUGGCAUAUGAAACAUACAGCCACAUGCAUCAAGACUGUGAAUCACAGAAGACAGAGCUAUGCCUUCAUGCAAUUACACGGCAAUGCCACACUUUUCCUGGAAUCAAAAUAUAGAAGUACCUCAAAUAUAAAAAUUGGUGUUCUUUUCAAGGGGUGGGGGUGGGGAUGGAGGGGCAGAAGCCAAAGAAAUUUUUUAAAUUAUUUUUUGUAAAUUGCAAACUGGUUUGCGAAAUCUCUCUCUCUGGGGGUGUUUUGGCCAGAUCUAGUAGUGACGUAGCACAGAAAUAUCAUUCCCAAUGGGCUGCUGAUGUUUACCAAUGGGUGAGCCAAAGGAUCAAGAGGUGAGAUCACUGCCCCUUAAGCACUUAGGGUAUUUUUUAAUGUUGAAAUAAUAUUAGUAAUGGAGUGGAACAAGACAGAUGUCAAUGAAUGUUGUGAAGGAAAUGGAAAGAGAAAAAACUUUUCUCCCCUUCUGUCAGAGACCGUGCUGAGGAGGGCUGCACUGAGGAGGAAUGGUGGGAGUCUGUCUCCCCUCCCCCGCUCCUGAAUCUUCCCAGGAGCAGGAGGACAGUAUCGAUUUGGAACAGCGGUUUGCAGAGGAGCGUAGUUCAGAAGGCAGAAGCUGGGAAAUACUGGAUGGGGAACAGCUUGGAGAUGAAGCACUGGGAGAGAGAGGGUUAACACAUUCACUGUCUCUGGACAGCAUUCCUCCUCUCAGCCCAAGGUCAAGAAGAGCUCAGAAAGUCUCAGAACAGAAAGCACAGCGGUUACAAACUCAGAUUAUUUGACAUGGGAGUGACAUAGAUUAAUAGGGACAGAAGCGAGUGUGAUCCUUAACUGGGAGCACCGCCAUUCUAGGAGAUGUGUUAUUUGUUCUCUAGCUGUGAUUAUUAAAGUUUCUAACUAGUAAGAUGUUCCUUUCUUUGAUCUUCUUAUCUACUGUGCUGGGAGGGAACAGAUUCCCCAAAGCCUGACACCUUCUCAUAAUAAAAUUUGGAUACCCCUAAUUAAAAUUAUUGGUAAUAAGUUGAGGACGUGGUGUGUUUGUGUGUGGAGGGGGGGAGAAGAGUACUUCUUAGGAUUCAACACAUGGCAUCCUUACAGGGACUCACCACUGCAGAAGAGUUGAGCCUGACCUGACCCCUCUUAAAAAAAGAUCCUGACACUCACUACUGGGCAGCUCCCAUUUAUGUUUCCCACAAUGCCCUUGAGUGACACUACAAUGUUGGUAUUGUGAGGAAACUUAGUAGAAACUGGGGGUGUACUGGGAGAGGAGAGCUGUUGCUAGGUAGGUCUGUCAGGGUGGGGACUACUACAGUAGGAGGGACCACUUCUGGGGAUCAAGCAUGGAGCCAAUCUUCCACUUCUUCACAGAAUGCGUCAUCCACACAUGGAAUUUACUGAUGCAAGAUAGCCAGUAGUUUAAUUGGUUUUAAAAUGGGAUUAGACAAAUAUGUGAAAGAUAGAGACAUCAGUUGCUAUCACCUAUGUACUAUGGUAAGGGACGUGGGUGGCGCUGUGGGUUAAGCCACAGAGUCUAGGACUUGCCGAUCAGAAGGUUAGCGGUUCGAAUCCCCACAACGGGGUGAGCUCCCGUUGCUUAGUCCCUGCUCCUGCCAACCUAGCAGUUUGAAAGCACAUUAAAGUGCAAGUAGAUAAAUAGGUACCGCUCCGGUGGGAAGGUAAACGGUGUUUCCGUGUGCUGCUCUGGUUUCACCAGAAGUGGCUUAGUCAUGCUGGCCACAUGACCCGGAAGCUGUACACCGGCUCCCUUGGCCAAUAAAGCGAGAUGAGCGCCGCAACCCCAGAGUCGAUCACGACUGGACCUAACGGUCAGGGGUCCCCUUUACCCCCCUUUAUGUACUAUGGUAACUAAAUGGAAGAUCCAUGUAGAGGUGCAGAAAAUUUAGGAUUCUGAUACACUAAGGAUGAACAAUAGGGGAUGGUCAUUGUCUUUUCUUUGUGAGACUGGCUCGCCAUUCUGGAAACAACAACAACAACCAUCUUUAUUAUUUAUAUGCUGCCCAUGUGACUGGAUUGUCUUAGCCACUCGGGGCGCCUCCCAGCAAAAUAUUGAAAACACAGUAAAGCAUCAACCAUUAAAAACUUCCCUGAACUGUGCUGCCUACAAAUGUCUUCUAAAAGUCAAAUAGUUAUCUGUUUGACAUCUGACGGGAGGGUGUUCCACAAGGCAGGUACCACUACCAAGAAGGCCCUCUGCCUGGUUACCUGUAGCUUCAGGUCUCACAGUGAGGGAACCACCAGAAGGCCUUCGGAGGAGGACCUCAGUGUCCAGGCUGGAUGGUGGAGAUAGAGACGCCACUUCAGGUAUACAGGGCUGAGGCUGAUUAGGGCUUAAAAGGUGAACACCAACACUCUGAAUUGUGCUCGGAAAUGUACUGUUGCAUUCUUAAGCCCUAGGAAAGUUGUAUCUAAUUCUACUCUUUAAUUUUUAGUAGGAUUUAGUGAUUAAACUGGGUAGCUGAAUCAAUUAAAAAUAUUUUGCUUGACUAAAAACAUGCCUGAUUAAUUUUCUUUAAUCAGGUGACAGCCCUAAUUUUUAGCUAUUCAGAAAGUAGUUUGUGCUCUCCCUAACUUCAUCCACUCACGGGAUCUGAACCUUUAAACAAAGUUUUACAAUAGUACUGGAACAGAUAUAUUUGUUUUGCCUCUGGUGUUGACAUCAUGCCUGAUUGACAAACUGUAAUUUGAGCGAUAACUGUUACAUUGCAAACGUCACCUGGAAAACCCCUUGAUUGCUAUUCAGCUGUACAUGCCGCACAUUCGAGGCUGGAAGUCAUCAUUUGCAAAUCAUCACCUUUCUAGAAGGACUACCAAUUCAAGUUUCAAAAUGCACGAAUGCACACACACACAAGCACUGGUGAACAUGUUGAAGAAACAUUAACCCAAGGAAGUGAAGAAAUAUGAAAUACUUCACGAAGUCAUGGGUUUCUCAUUAUAGGAAUACUUGACCUACUGUGUUUUUGCUGAGGUAUUAAAGCCGUAGAACAUUUGGUUUAAAAAAUAUUAGUUGCUACAAGGCAUCUGCCCCUCUGUCUAGUAUGGGGUGACAAUUCAUUCUGCAUGGUAGACCUAUUUAGAAACAUGUUACUUAUCAGAUAGAGGUAGCUUGCGUUAAUUGUAUAUAGCUGGCAUAAGAGGGUAAGUUCACACUGUCAUUUCUGCUACUGAAUUGUUUUAAUGGAAAAAGGGGUCUGUGUGUAAUGAUGCAGGUGUUGAUGAAAAUUAUUGUGUUAUGUAUGUUAUCACUAGUUCAUACAGGAACAAGGCAGGGGGCCUUCAUGGUAGCCCAGCCUCUGAAAUGCCCUCCCAUCAGAUAUCAAGGAGAUAAGUAACUAUGCAACCUUUAGAAGAUAUCUGAAGGCCCUGUAUAGGGAAGUUUUUUAAUGUUUCAUGUUUCAUUAUGUUUUUAUAUAUGUUGGAAGCUGCCCAGAGUGGCUGGGGCAACCCAGUCAGUUGGGUUGGGUAUUAUUAUUAUUAUUAUUAUUACUACUACUACCACAAAGACGAUCAUGUGAACUAGCCUCAGUUGGUGGCCAUAACACCAUACAUUUUAGUACUCUUGCUUCCUUAGUGUUUUGGGACAACACACUAGAUCAGGGGUCAGCAAACUUUUUCAGCAGGGGGCCGGUCCACUGUCCCUCAGACCUUGUGGGGGGCCGGUAUUUUGGAAAAAAUGAUGCAAGAGCACCACGAGCCCUGGUGGCUGCUUACAUGUGUCUUGCGAGCGGCGGAGGCUGGCAGCGGCAGCAGUGGUGGGAUGAUGAGUGGCGCAUGAAAGGGCUCUGGAGUGGGGCUGCUUAAAAUGGCGGCCGCUUGAGCGCUGCUGCUGCUGGCACCAACAAAGCCCACCCCCUUUCCUCCUCUAGGAAGGGCAGGGAGAAGCCAGGAGGAGGGAGGGAGGAGGCACCAGCAUGAGGGAGAGGCAAAGAACCUGCGUGCUGGUGAUCAAUGAGACGAUUCCUUGACCGUCCGCGGGCCGGAUCGAGAAGGCAAUUGAGCCUGAUCUGGCCUGCGGGCCUUAGUUUGCCUACCCAUGCACUAGAUUAAUACAAGGGCUUCAACGAUUUGCGUCAAACAGAGCCCUGAAACCUAUAGAGGGUUGAAUGAAACUUUUCUCUCUAGGUUAGCCUUGCCUUGCUACAGAGUGCUGAGCAGAGUGCAGUUAUAUUUUGCCAGCCUCCCUCCUUCGCUGCCUGUUGUGACAUGCCAACUCCCGCUCUGAACCACAGCAGGUGGUGGCAGAAGGAAUCAAAAUGAUACCAGACUGAUAAAGCAAGUCUGAUAAAACGAAACUCAGCACCAACAAAUGCCACAAACGCUACACACUGGAAGGAGAAAUCAAAUGCACAAGUUUGAAAAAGAAUUAGAAGAGGGGAAACGCCUGUCAAGGUAGUCUUGCCAAAGGGGAUUUAUGGGAUUGCACACACAUAUACAGAGAAGAGUCAGCUUACUCUCAUGUGCAUAUUUGCCAGCGUUCCUGCUUGGAGGCAUUCUACAUGGGGAUAUCUAUAUGCAUGUAAGCUCCCUUUCACACUAAUGCUGAGUGUGUGGCCACUUGGGGAGUCAAUCAGUUGAGGAUGUGGCCAGCAGGCACACUGGUGUCAGAAGCGUGGCUAGCAAGCACAACCCUGCUCCCCUUUUGCACAUUCAUGGAACAUGGGGUGGAGAAUGGCUGUGCCUGGCUCCUGAGAAGGUGACACCCAAAUCUUCACAAUAAAUCUUAUAUCUAAUCACCCUUCGGAUGGGCCAGGUUCUAUCUGGAAGCACCUUCAAGGGAGGCUGCCCAGCAGCUUUCCAGAUGUUCCUAGAAUCAUAGAAUUGUAGAGCUGGAAUUGACCCCAAGGAUGAUCUGGUCCAACCUCCUGUAAUGCAGGAAUUUCAACUAAAGCAUUCAUGACGAAUGACCAUCCAACAUCUGCUUGCAACCCCACAAGGAAGGAGAGUCCAUCUCUCAUGGGAGUCUGUUCCACUGUCAUAAUGCCAGAAAGUUCUUCCUGAUUCUUAGUCGGAAUCUCCUUUCUUGUAACUUGAAGCCAUUGGUUCAGGUCUCCGGAGCAUGAGAAAACAAGCUUGUUGUUGGACUGCCCCUUCCACCAUCCCCAGUCAGCGUGGCCAAUGGGAAGAGAUUAUGGGAUUUGUAGUGCAAGAAAGUCUGGAGGGCCCCAGGCUAGCUAUACCUGCUCUAAGGGGGUUUGCAGCAUCCACUGUCAAGCUUGGAUCAUUGGUACUACUCUGGUUGUAAAAGGCCUAGUAAGACACUCAGGCCUGAGAGCAGGAACAGAACACGAGUCACUGGGUAGGCUGAACAUCAGUAGGCUGCUGGCAUGGAGGGAGAACCUGGAGUCAAAGCUCAGAGAAGGCAGCACUCUUCAUGUGAGAUAGUUGCACCAGAUUGACAAGGAGGAGUUGGCGUUCUUGUGAAAAUCAAGCAUCUCUUACUAGUGCACCAGGACAGAAGCUUCUCCAUUAGGGGCUUUCAGGGUAAAAGUGUCUCUGGUUGCCAUUAGUUUCAGUGAGGAACCCAUCUUGAAUUGAACUUUCAGGGCCAAUCUUUGAAAAAAUGCAGAGAGACAGCCCUCAAUUCACCCCACAGCUAUGACAGUUGGUGAUUUGUUACGACUGGGGCAGAAUUUCAACCUUUCAAUCUGUUUAAAAUGAUUGGGCUGCUCGUGGGCGGACUUUGGUAAUAUGGCACCCUGAGCGAGGACAAAAUUUGGCACCCUCCCUAAAUAUUUUAAUUUUUGAGUAGGUACCCCUAUAAAUAUUGGUCAGUGCCCUGUGUGGGGGAACUGCCUGCCCUGCCCUAAAUUUGGCUCUGGGCUGCUGUCCUCUGAACAGAGCACCCCAUCCCUGUCCCCAAUAGGCACAGAUUAUUUGGGCUGUCAAUACAUUUUUCAAUAUUUAUACAAAAUAUAUAUUAUUGGCUACUUGACCUUCCCUUCUCCAACCAGAAGUCCUGGUGGGACAGGGAGUCUCAGGGCCUGAUCCUCAGUGCUGCCUGCUCAAGCCUUGUGGCACCUCAAAGCUCCUACCUCCCCCACUCCCUGCCUGAGACUCUCUGAAACACAUGAAACUUAAUAGUAAAUAAACAUCCAAUACUGAAUAAUCUUACAGACAGAGAGCUGCUGAAGAAGGACUAGGGGGCAAUUUUGGAGUUCCUUUGUAAUAACUUUGCCUUCAGGCAUUUUUGCAACCAAAAGGAAUGUGGAUGGAAGGCUGUUUGUAGUUCACACUAAAUAACGUUAGCAACUGAAGUCUCAUGUGGCAUUUUUGCCUUCAAAUCCCCUCUGUCAGUUUCUUUAAAGAGUUUUGCUGGGGCUGCUUUACUUCACAGGAAAGAUUUUGCUAGUGGCUGCUCUCAAAAAUAUUUCAUUUACAAAUGAGAUUCUCUUUUAUCAGAUGCCAGCUUAUUUCUACAUAGCCUGAAUAAUAGUAAUAAUAAUAACGGUCUAAACAGCUCUCCCAUUUUUGGAGAGCCUCAUCCUGAAGGAUUCCCCAGUUUAUAAACCAGAGGUUGCACAAUGCUCAGCUUUUCCAUUUUAUCACUUGUCUCUAAGAAGCUAUUUUUGGAUCGUAACAGUUUAGACAAAAAAAGAGGGGGAGAGCGCUAUCUUCCCUACAGAGGUUGUGAUCGACUAAACGAAGAGCAGCUCUGCAUACAUAUAGUAAGAUGCAAACGGUUUGAAAGAUAUGCCUAGGAAAGCAGAGGAUGAAACACCAGCCUGCUCCGAGAGCCGUCAUGCAAUUGCAUCUCCUGUUGACAUUCAGCAAAUAUUGCAACUUCAAACUUUUUUUGGGGGGGGGGGGAAUUCCCGCUAGCAUUCGUUUCAGCAAUAUACUUGAGAGGCGGAAAACCCAUGAAGGUGUACAAGAGUUUGCACAUGCGUUGCACCGUAAGAACAUAGGAUCAUAGGAUUGCAGAGUUGGACGGACCACAAGGGCCAGUGUGGUGUAGUGGUUAAGAGCAGUAGACCCGUAAUCUGGUGAACCGGGUUCGUGUCCCCGCUUCUCGACAUGCAGCUGCUGGGUGACCUUGGGCCAGUCACACUUCUUUGAAGUCUCUCAGCCUCACUCACCUCACAGAGUAUUUGUUGUGGGGGAGGAAGGGAAAGGAGAUUGUUAGUGGCUUUGAGACUCCUUAAGGGGAGUGAAAGGCAGGAUAUCAAGUCCAAACUACUACUACUACUACUACUACUCUUCUUCUUCUUCUUCUUCUUCUUCUUCUUCUUCUUCUUCUUCUUCUUCUUCGUCUGGCCUCCUGCAACUCAGGAAAUUUUGCCCAACAUGGGGCUCAAACCCACAACUCUGAGAUUAAGAGUCUUAUGCUCUACCAACUGAGCUAUCCCAACAUAAGAAGAGCCACCUGGAUCUGAUUAGUGGCCCACCUAGUCUAACAUCCUGUUCUCACAAUGGCCAACUGGGUGCCCAUGGGAAACCCACAAGCAGGAUCUGAGCACUCUCCCCUCCUGCAGUUUCCAGCGACUGAUACUCUGAAGUAUUAAUGCCUCCAGCAAGGGACAUAAAACAUAGCCAUCAGGGUUGAUAGACACUGACAGCCUUACCCUCCAUGAAUUUGUCUAAUCUUCUUUGAGUAGCCAGCAGCACCUCUUUGAAGAGCAAAUUCCAUAGUUCAGCUGGACAGUGUGAAGAAGUACUUUCCUUUGUCUGUCUUGAAUCGUCAGACGUUCAGCUUUGUUGGAUGUCUAUGAAUUCGAGUGUUAUGUUUCUCUACCCACUUCCUCCAUGCAAUGCAUAAAUUUAUACACCUCUCUCAUGUUGCCUGUUAUGUGAAGAAGAAGAAGAGUUUGGAUUUGAUAUCCCGCUUUAUGUUCACUUGUUGUAACCUGCCCUGAGACCUUAUAAGUAAAUAAAAUAGUAGAAAUGUAAUAGAAAGGGGUGGUGAGUUUGUCUGUCAUACCCACUCUGAAAUUUGAAAAGUUGUACAUGGGGCUCCAAUGAGCACCAAUUUCCCACUCAAAAUGUAAUCAUCAUUUUUAAAAUGUGACUAGAUGUUCAUGAUUAUAUUGUCCUUUUAAUAAGCUCUGGAUGUCCUAUGGGCAGUUCAUGCCCCUAAUUUCUCUCUCUCUCUUGCCUUCCCCCAACAAAGGACUCACAAUUCUCAUUCAAACCACCCCCUUCGUUAGCUUGCCAUAUAAUGCAGCCUUUCACCCAACUGCUAUUCCUUAUAUUUAGUCCAAAACACUUUCCUACUGCUGUGACAUGGCCAAAGACCCUCCUGCUGCUCCUUUAGCCAUGAUCCCACACUUGAUAGUGAAACUGAAGCUGGUCAAGAGGCCUCUCGACGGAGCUGGUCUUGCUGUUAUCACAGCAAGAGCUGAGGAGAAGCUGAGGUGCUUAUAUCCUCCCCUCGCGUCUCACCUGCCUGUGCUCAUUGUUUUAGAUGCUUGCUAAACCCAGACAGACAGAUAAUUUAGUAUUCACUUCUACAUAUUGCUGGUUUCAUCCACACAUUAUUGUUCUUCAUUUUAUAUUGUCUUAUACACACUGCUUUAUUAUUAUUAUUAUUAUUAUUAUUAAGCAGUUUAUAAUCCUUUAUACAGUGGUACCUCAGGUUAAGUACUUAAUUCGUUCCGGAGGUCCGUUCUUAACCUGAAACUGUUCUUAACCUGAAGCACCAAUUUAGCUAAUGGGGCCUCCCGCUGCUGCCGCGCCGCCGGAGUCCUGUUUCUGUUCUUAUCCUGAAGCAAAGUUCUUACCCUGAAGCACUAUUUCUGGGUUAGCGGAGUGUGUAACCUGAAGCGUAUAUAACCUGAAGUGUAUGUAACCCGAGGUACCACUGUAAAUGAAACAAAGUUCUCUGGGUGGCUCAGAAAAUAAAAGAAAUAACUGGUAUUUUUUAAAAAACGCAAUAACUGGUAUUUUUUAAAAAACAGGCAGCCCUGUUUAGGGAAAUUUUUAAUGUUUGAAGUUUUAUUCUCUUUUUACUCCUCUGUUGGGAGCCACCCAGAGUGGCUGGGGAAACCCAGCCAGAUAGACGGGGUAUAAAUAAUAAAAUGAGGAUGAGGAUGAUUAGGUAAAGCAGAUUAUACUUUCAAACAACAACGAACAGAAACGGCAGGACCAUAGUAGCGUGGGAUUCACAAGGUUAAAGAAAACCCAGUUUUCUCUCUCAUCAUUCACAUUUCUGCUCUUUCGUAAUUUUAAUUCUUCCAUUGAUCUUUUCAGACACGUCCAGAAGGGGAGCGUUUGUCAAUACCAGAAAGACGACCUAAGAGGAAGCCCCAAUGAGCUUUUCAUUGGCAAUAGCACCCUACAAUCCUGUCCCCUCAGGGAGCAAAACUUGUUUUUCAAGACAUGACCUCAGAGAUGUGCUCCACGCAUCUUACACAAUUUAUCACCAUGUUGCCUAUAAUUAGGUUUGUUAACGUACAGCCCAGUGCAGUCUUGUUGACUGGGAACUUAAUCAAGUUACUAUUGAGUUCUUGUAUGCAUGGCUCCGGGUGACUGUUUUACUUGUGGAAUUAUAGCCACAACCAAUGUGAGGAAAUUAAGCUCUGGACACAACUUUUCCCCCCCUUUUUCUUUUUAAACUCUCCUCUCCCCCACAAUGUGAAAAUAUUUAGCAAACAGUGACAAUGAUGGAAAACAGUAGGAAACAAAAAUGUUCUACAUUAGUAUAAAACAUGAAAAAUUGAGCAAGGACCCUCAGUGGUACAACAUGUGUUAUGCUGGCUGGCAGUCCAUUAGGGUUGAUAGACAUUUCACUUACCUAAGUCAAAUAUAACAGUCUAGAAUUCAUUAAUAUAAGAAGGGGGCUGCAAAAUCAAGCCUACCAUCUGGUUAGAACGACAGAAUAAUCUACAACUCAUGAUUAGGUCUAAGGAGUGGAAUUUCACUUUAAUCUUUUUCAUUGCUCGAAAUUUCCAUCUGCGGAGUACGGCACAUCAUUUUUCUUCAAGACAAAUGUGCUGUUUUUCAUGUUCCAAAAUUAGAUCAGAAGAAAACGAUUAAUCAUGUCAUGGCCUGGGAAAGGAAACAAAAGCCCUGAUAUUUCUCUCUCCCUCUCUCUCUCCCUCUCUUCCUCUCUCUGGCUGUUUGCAAGUUCUUUUCUUUCCCUCCACCGUCUCCAUUUUCACUGCAACUUUUAAGAGGUGAACACACCCUAAAUGCAGCAGGGCAGCAAAUAUGGGGUCUGGUGUGUGCAAAGCCAUUUCUAGGCUUUCGGUUGACCUGUUGUUCUGAGUCUACCACCCACUAGUACACACUCCCUGUCCCACGCUGUGAUGAUUCCCCCUCUCCCCGCUUCCCUCCCCCCGGUCUCCCAGCGCAGGACAACAGAUGGCGAACUGUUUGUAUGUGACACCAAAACCGAGCUGAAAAAUUCACGGAAACAAGUAGCCGGGCUGCAAAUUAGUGAGACCACACAAUUGUCAGGUGGCAGUCCCCUUUGACAGUUGUAGGCCAUUAUAGGAACAUUGAUGUUUUCGCAGUGUGACAAAGAGGAAUCCUUUUAGUGCGGCAGGCCUGCCUGUCAGCCGGCUCUCAAGUCAUAACAAAUCUCUGGCACUCAGCUGAGGCUGAACAUUUGCAGCGUCAGGAGGAUGAUAAAUGACCUGCAGGGCUUUGAAGUGCCUUGGCAGUUCAGAUGGGUCCACAGUGCUGACAGAGAAAUAUACACAACAGCGUAACCAAUAAUGAGAACAUUAAACAUUCCUGCCUUGUGACAGGCUGACAGAAAAACCCAGCCUCACAUCAAUCAUCUGUGGAGAUAUAACCUUGACAAUUAGCCCCCUCUCUGAUACUUGAAAUAACCUUUCUUCCCCCACCCCCAGUCUCUCUUUCUCUUAUUUCUCUCUCUCUCUCUCUCUCCUUUUAUUUAUUUAUUUGAUUUCUUUUUGGGUAUUUUAUUUUUUUAGCCGAGCUUAUCUGCCAUGAUCGUAUUUCUGGUGUGUUAGGACAGGGAAGGGAAAAAAACAAAACAGCACAUGGAGCCAGCACUCAGAAAUAUCUUUCUUUUUUCUUCCAUUUGAAAAAUAAAACAUGCCAAGAGAAAGUUUAUUUGGUGGACUUCCACUUAUUUCCCUUUAGGAAAACAGAAUAUACAUUUGGUGUCCUAUCAGCUAAGAGCAUCUGUUGGUACAAAUACUGAGAAUACAACUUUUGGUUUACAUUUUAUGCUUAUUUUGUCCACACACCCCCCCUUUUUCAAUGGUUCAGACUAUUACAGUGGUACCUCGGGUUAAGAACUUGAUUUCUU